UACGUAGGGUGCGAGCGUUUAAUCGGAAUUACUGGGCGUAAAGCGUGCGCAGGCGGUGCUGUAAGACCGAUGUGAAAUCCCCGGGCUUAACCUGGGAAUGGCAUUGGUGACUGCACGGCUAGAGUGUGUCAGAGGGGGGGUAGAAUUCCACGUGUAGCAGUGAAAUGCGUAGAGAUGUGGAGGAAUACCGAUGGCGAAGGCAGCCCCCUGGGAUAACACUGACGCUCAUGCA
rnacentral:rRNA from 1 species